GUUAUCAAGGCUUACUGCUGUGUGUGGGUGGAUGGUCCUCUCCGUUAAUGGCUUGGUGGGCUUGCUUAGGGCUGAGAAGGACAUCCGAGCCGUACUGGAGAAACUCUCCAGACCCUUGGCUGGCCUGUCUUUCUAUGGUGACCGCACAGUCUCCAUCAGGAGAUGGGGCAGGAGAGUGUGCCCACCAACCUCGGAACCUAGCUGCCCGGUGACUUUAGCGCUUCACUUCUUGCCCACAGCCUUGUAGGAACUAGAGCCUUCAUCUGAACAUCCUUUGAAAGAUGCUUAGAAGAACUGAAGAGAAAUGGGAGUCUCUGCAGUGUCUGCCGAAUGGUUGUUCUUAAAAAUGUGUAUUUGUGUUUCUGUGUACGUGAGUGCCUGCAGAGGACAGACGAGGUCGUCCUGGAGCUGCAGUUGCGGCGGCUGUGAGCUGCCCACUGUGGGUGCUGGGAACUUGGGUCCUCUACAAGAGCAGUAUGAGUUCUUAACCAGUGAACCAUUUCUCCAGCUCCUUUCCCUCCAUCUUUACUCAUUUUUCUGAAACUCUGCAGCCCAAGUCUUGUGUGCCUAUUAAUUGCAUGGUUUUCUGUAAUUUCUAGCAAGGAACCGAGACUGUCUGUUAAGAACCCCACAAGAUAAGUAACAAGGUUUGCCUUCUGUUGGUUGAAAUCAACCUCUAAUCCUUUUUUAUUGAUGAAAUUUGGAGUCACUUUCACUAACCUGGAACUUAUUGGGUCAGCCAAUGCCACAGACCUGGUUCUGAGCUUUCGAAUUAGGAUUGGUUCUUACAUUGUAAGUUAUUCAGAGAAAAUGAGAAAGUAUUUCAUAACAUGUGAGAAUUGAUUAAAUUUAAUUGUCUAUAGUUUCAGUUUUUGUUGUUUGUUUGUUUGUUUUGAGACAGUGUCACAUUGAGUAACUGAUUGGCCUGGAGCUAGCUGUGUAGACCAUGCUGGCCUCAAAUUCAGAGUGAUUUGCCUCCCUCUGUCUCCCAAGUGCUAGUUCUCCCAAGUACCACCACAUCUGGCUUGAAUUAACUUCAACUAAGAUCUUUGUCUAUACUUGAAUGAUACUGGCUCCAAGUGGCUUCUGUUCAUAGUGAACUGUACCCUACCUGGGUAAUAUAUACAAAUUGUGAAAAAAUGGCUGGGCCUCCAGCCAGUCAGGCCCAAACCGCCAAAACUAUGUAAGGUAAAGGCUGACUUCAGCCAGUCAUAUUGUUCUUGUCUUUUCAUUGGCUACAAAUUUAACUUUGAGCUGUAUUGUGUUCAUAAGGAACUUGUUGGCCCACCUUUGCUUGGCUGUAAAACUUCCUGUGUUUUGAGAUAAACUUAACUCCUUUUGGGUGUUUAAUAAUUGGAAUGCAGCAUCCUUGAGUCUAUGUAGUAUACUUCUGCUUUUGCCUGACAGUGACAGAGUUGUAUAACUUGACUAAAGACUAAGAUGCUUAGCUCUGU
rnacentral:lncRNA from 1 species